GACUCGGCAUCGGCUCGUCCCCCCCGGCUCUUUUCACGACGCUUUACGGUCCUUCGGAGAAAGAGAAAAAAAACAGAGGGAGCGUUUACAAAACACAACACGCCAACAAUGUGUUUUACGUUUUUCCCGACCCCCUUGUUGAAGUUCCGAGAUAAUUAAUGCGGUGAGAGAGACCAGAAGCACGGCGCAGUUUCGAAAGGGAUCCAAAGUUUUGCCAACGAAUCUAUCUCCAAGCAGCAAGAAACGGAGAGUCCUUCACUUCUGAAAUGUGACUUUCCCCCCAAAAUUUCCAGAUAAUGAUAAAAAAACAAUACCGAGCUUUUAAAUCCCUCGAAAAUUCCCUCUAAUUUAUAACCACAACGAGGACAUGGGACGCGUCGGGAGAGUCGGACUGUCGUAGCAGGAAACACAACCUGUGGACGGACUGACGUGUUCCGCUUGUUGGAAUGACAUUUUUCUAUAAAGAGAGUCCCUGAAGUGCGGCCGCAGAAACGUACGCCACCUAUCUUCAUGUAAACCGAAGAGUUAGAAGGGAAAAUCCUCAGAGGAGAUUAUUGCAUUGGACAAUAUGAAGGAUCUAACAAUAUUAGCAAAGAUAGCCAAUCUCUUGGAGUGCAACAACAUCAGACAAACUUUCAGCCCUAGUCCCUGUGGUGAAUGACUGGAACAUCUACAGGAGAAAUACUUUGGAGUCCAGAGGAAACCUGAAUGGCUCCAAAAUGGCUGUAGUUCCCUUUGAAGCCAAAGGUGGUCUUCGCCUGGCACUAGUAAGAGUUCUGUUCACCUCCUGCAGUUUCUAUGAUGUUAUCUUACAUAUCCCACUGUGUGCUACAUUAUCAUUUUAUAACAGUUGUGUUAAGGGAGCCUUCUGCUAUUUUAGAGUGCAGCCCUGUGAUUCCUUCAAGCCUUAGAGAAGCACACGGCAUUAGUCAGAUAAUUAGAAUGUUAGGGGCUGAGGAACUGUACACUGUAACUGAGAGAGAUAUUAUGACAUAUUCUUAACAAAUCCUUUUCAAAGUAAAUCUGGUCUCUCUAUCUCAUCACUUCAUCAUCCUUAUGAUGUAUUAAAAGAACGAGAGCAUCAACCAGGAACUAACAUCAGAGCUUGGACAAUUAUAUUUAAACAUUGUAACGUAUUUGUCAGAAUGUAUUGCUAUAAUUGGUUCUGUAAGCAUACCGUGCUUAAAAUUGGUUAUAAAAAGCAUAAUGAUUUGUAACUCUUCACACUCUAAAGUAUAAUGAAUAAAUUCAAGCUUUACUAUUAAUUUAUUGUUUUUGAUCAAAUAGCAUAACUUUAUCAUUCUGUUGGUAUUGUUCACUCACGUACUUAAAAUAAAGAAGUAAGUAACAGCUGGUUUGGUAAUCAUUGUGUACAAAACUGGCAGCUUUGCAAAUUAAUCUAGGGGGAGUCACUAUCACCCAGCAGCCACUUAAAUUGAUCAGAACGCAAAAAAAAAUUCUAGAGGAGCCCUUUGUGAUGUUACUCUGUGCAUUAAAGCACAUCUUCAAAAACCAGGAUUAAUAUAAAAUUACUUCCAUCUCAACUGCCAUUUUUGAUCCUUCCCUGCCCCAAAUUAAUCCCUGGUUACAUCAUUAAUGCCAUGCUUGUAACAGAGUUUUCCUCUAAUUUAGUUCUUUCACUAGUCUGCGGUGAAAUGUCAAAAUACAUUUUAUUUGAAGUUAUGUACAGUAUUUCCAUUGGGUGUGGUAAAUAUAAAAUUUAGGUCAGUGAGGAACUUGCACAGGGCUAUUAGGAGUUAAAUUAUGAUAGCUUGCAUUUUUGUAGAACUUGCCAAAUGAUUAUUUAAAUGAUGAGAUUUCACUGAAAGUUACAAAUCUAAUUAUAAUAU